AAGCCUGAAUACUACCUGAUGACCGAUAGCGGACCAGUACCGUGAGGGAAAGGUGAAAAGCACCCCGGGAGGGGAGUGAAAUAGUACCUGAAACCGUGUGCCUACAAGCCGUCAGAGCCCGUUAAUGGGUGAUGGCGUGCCUUUUGUAGAAUGAACCGGCGAGUUACGAUAUGAUGCGAGGUUAAGUUACUAUGUAACGGAGCCGAAGCGAAAGCAAGUCUGAAUGGGGCGUCAAGUUGGAUGUAUUAGACCCGAAACCAUGUGACCUACCCAUGAGCAGGUUGAAGGUGAGGUAAAACUCACUGGAGGACCGAACCAGGGCACGUUGAAAAGUGCUUGGAUGACUUGUGGGUAGCGGAGAAAUUCCAAACGAACUUGGAGAUAGCUGGUUCUCUCCGAAAUAGCUUUAGGGCUAGCGUCAAGUGAUGAUUAUUGGAGGUAGAGCACUG
rnacentral:ncRNA from 1 species